rnacentral:rRNA from 1 species
CUGGCGGCAGGCCUAACACAUGCAAGUCGAGUCGCACUCUUCGGAGUGAGCGGCGGACGGGUUAGUAACGCGUGGGAACAUACCCUUUUCUACGGAAUAGCCUCGGGAAACUGAGAGUAAUACCGUAUACGCCCUUCGGGGGAAAGAUUUAUCGGUGAAGGAUUAGCCCGCGUUUGAUUAGAUAGUUGGUGGGGUAAUGGCCCUACCAAGUCUACGAUCAAUAGCUGGUUUGAGAGGAUGAUCAGCAACACUGGGACUGAGACACGGCCCAGACUCCUACGGGAGGCAGCAGUGGGGAA